rnacentral:lncRNA from 1 species
CCUGUAUGCCAUACCAGUGUCUCCACACUCCUUGGUUAAGAGGAUAACUAACCCAUAUGGCCUACAGCGUCCUAUGCUCGAUAGAAGCUGUCGUCCUUAUUAACAGCCUAUCAUUUGGUCGUGAACAAUUUUAAGGACUAAUCGAUAAAUCCUCUCUUUAUCGAACCUAAAUAGUCCUAAGGACUUCAUCACAACAACGGAGUUCAUUAGAAGAUGAA